GACGAACGCUGGCGGCGUGCCUAAUACAUGCGAGUAGAACGCUGAAGGAGGAGCUUGCUUCUCUGGAUGAGUUGCGAACGGGUGAGUAACGCGUAGGUAACCUGCCUGGUAGCGGGGGAUAACUAUUGGAAACGAUAGCUAAUACCGCAUAAUAUUGACUAUUGCAUGAUAGUCAGUUGAAAGGUGCAACUGCACCACUACCAGAUGGACCUGCGUUGUAUUAGCUAGUUGGUGGGGUAACGGCUCACCAAGGCGACGAUACAUAGCCGACCUGAGAGGGUGAUCGGCCACACUGGGACUGGGACACCGCCCAGACUCCUACGGGAGGCAGCAGUAGGGAAUCUUCGGCAAUGGACGGAAGUCUGACCGAGCAACGCCGCGUGAGUGAAGAAGGUUUUCGGAUCGUAAAGCUCUGUUGUAAGAGAAGAACGAGUGUGAGAGUGGAAAGCUCACACUGUGACGGUAUCUUACCAGAAAGGGACGGCUAACUACGUG
rnacentral:rRNA from 1 species